AAAAGAAUAAACAACAACAACAACAACAUCAAGGAGCUGGUCCACUUUAUUCAACACUCAAUCAAGACGAUGAUACUCCUCCUCCUGUCCCUCCUGCCUAUAAUCCUGAGGGAGUACAGGAAUACUCUGUAUUGAAGAGAGAGGGAGAGAAUAAGGGUCAACAGGGUCUGUCUACUGGUGCUACUGGACUAUAUUCAACCAUUAAUAAAAACACCAACAACCAGGUGUUAGUUGAUGAAUCAGCUCAUAAGCCAGUGUAUGCUGAUCUGGCUAUUGCUGAUAAAGGGAAGAGACCACAGGCAGCACCAACACAAGAACAACCAGUGGUAUAUGCAUCAGUUAACAACAAAUCUGUUCCUCCUCCC
rnacentral:lncRNA from 1 species